rnacentral:rRNA from 1 species
CUACGGGGGGCUGCAGUGGGGAAUAUUGCACAAUGGGCGCAAGCCUGAUGCAGCCACGCCGCGUGUAUGAAGAAGGCCUUCGGGUUGUAAAGUACUUUCAGCGGGGAGGAAGGGAGUAAAGUUAAUACCUUUGCUCAUUGACGUUACCCGCAGAAGAAGCACCGGCUAACUCCGUGCCAGCAGCCGCGGUAAUACGGAGGGUGCAAGCGUUAAUCGGAAUUACUGGGCGUAAAGCGCACGCAGGCGGUUUGUUAAGUCAGAUGUGAAAUCCCCGGGCUCAACCUGGGAACUGCAUCUGAUACUGGCAAGCUCGAGUCUCGUAGAGGGGGGUAGAAUUCCAGGUGUAGCGGUGAAAUGCGUAGAGAUCUGGAGGAAUACCGGUGGCGAAGGCGGCCCCCUGGACGAAGACCGACGCUCAGGUGCGAAAGCGUGGGGGGCAAACAGGAUUAGAUACCCUUGUAGUC